CUUUUGUAUAAUGGGUCAGCGACUUAUAUUUUGUAGCAAGGUUAACCGAAUAGAGGAGCCGUAGGGAAACCGAGUCUUAACUGGGCGUCUAGUUGCAAGGUAUAGACCCGAAACCCGGUGAUCUAGCCAUGGGCAGGUUGAAGGUUGGGUAACACUAACUGGAGGACCGAACCGACUAAUGUUGAAAAAUUAGCGGAUGACUUGUGGCUGGGGGUGAAAGGCCAAUCAAACCGGGAGAUAGCUGGUUCUCCCCGAAAGCUAUUUAGGUAGCGCCUCGUGAACUCAUCUUCGGGGGUAGAGCACUGUUUCGGCUAGGGGGCCAUCCCGGCUUACCAAACCGAUGCAAACUCCGAAUACCGAAGAAU
rnacentral:rRNA from 1 species